GACGAACGCUGGCGGCGUGCUUAACACAUGCAAGUCGAGCGGUAAGGCCCUUUCGGGGGUACACGAGCGGCGAACGGGUGAGUAACACGUGGGUGACCUGCCCUCAGCUCUGGGAUAAGCCCGGGAAACUGGGUCUAAUACCGGAUAUGACUCCAUGACGCAUGUUGUGGGGUGGAAAGCCUUGUGCGGCUGAGGAUGGGCCCGCGGCCUAUCAGCUUGUUGGUGGGGUGAUGGCCUACCAAGGCGACGACGGGUAGCCGGCCUGAGAGGGCGACCGGCCACACUGGGACUGAGAUACGGCCCAGACUCCUACGGGAGGCAGCAGUGGGGAAUAUUGCACAAUGGGCGGAAGCCUGAUGCAGCGACGCCGCGUGAGGGAUGACGGCCU
rnacentral:rRNA from 1 species